rnacentral:lncRNA from 1 species
UAGAUGCUGAUAAUUAAUUUUUAAAAAAAAUCAGUUUUAUAGUGUGUUAUGCUCCCAAAAAUGAAGGGGAUCUAUCCGUAAAGAACUAAGUGUUUUUAAGGUUAAGAACAAUGAACUAAACUUCAAAAGAGGCAUUAACAACUAGACGAGCUAAAACAAUAUGAUCAAUAUCGAGAGAGUUAUGUUCAAGUUGAGAAAUCCAUUAUGAAUUACAAGUGAAUCAUUUUUAAGCUUUUAAGCCUAACAUAGCAAGUGAGAAAACUGAUUGAUGCAUGUUACUAUUGGAAAAGUGAAAAAUUGAUAGUUUUGUUUGGUUCUGAAAACUAAUAAAAGAUGUAAAAC